rnacentral:rRNA from 1 species
UACGCGGGGGGCAAGCGUUGUUCGGAAUUACUGGGCGUAAAGGGCGCGUAGGCGGUUCGCUAAGUUGGAUGUGAAAACUCUGGGCUUAACCCAGAGCCUGCAUCCAAAACUGGCGAACUGGAGUACUGGAGGGGAAAGCGGAAUUCCUGGUGUAGCGGUGAAAUGCGUAGAUAUCAGGAGGAACACCGGUGGCGAAGGCGGCUUUCUGGACAGUAACUGACGCUGAGGCGCGAAAGCUAGGGGAGCAAACAGG